rnacentral:tRNA from 1 species
GGGAUGAUAGCGCGUAAUUUGGUAGCGUCGGCGGUUGUAACCCGUCUGUCAUUUGAUCCUGGAGGUUCGAGUCCUUCUCAUCCCA